rnacentral:rRNA from 10 species
CCUGGCGGCACUAGCGCGGUGGUCCCACCUGACCCCAUGCCGAACUCAGAAGUGAAACGCCGUAGCGCCGAUGGUAGUGUGGG